rnacentral:rRNA from 1 species
UGAAAUCUCACCAGGCCCGGACACUGGAAGGAUUGACAGAUUGAUAGCUCUUUCUUGAUUCGGUGCGUGGUGGUGCAUGGCCGUUCUUAGUUGGUUGAGUGAUUUGUCGGCUUAAUUUGACUCAACACGGGAAAUCUCACCAGGCCCGGACACUGGAAGGAUUGACAGAUUGAUAGCUCUUUCUUGUUAGCAAUAA